rnacentral:rRNA from 1 species
UGAAAAAACCGUGAGGCGUGUUGGAUACACCCGAUCCAUCGAUCUCGGAAGUUAAGCAACGCACAGUCCGGUCAGUCCUUGGAUGGGAGGCCACUCAAGUACGACCGGAUGUUGUAGCCU